GUUGUUGUACUCAAGUGGUUAAGAGGUUAGUCUGCAAAACUAAUAUCGUGAGUUCGAAUCUCACCAACAACU
rfam:Cellulophaga phage phi13:2, complete genome.